GAGUACAACUCUCCUGAACAAAUCCCUCACUCACUCAGUGACCCUUCCUUCUUCCUUCAUUUCGGAUAAAGAAAAACCCCACAAAUCCUUUCUUCUUUCUUUCCUCGGAUAGAAGAAACCCUCACAUGUUUUUGUUUCCCUCCUUGUAGCCACGCGUUCUUCCUUUCCCACGUCUUCAUUCAGACUCCAUCAUCAGCCACGUCCAUUUUCUCUCUCGUGCAUUGGAGAGAGCAGCUUCAUUCUCGCGUUCUUCUUCCGCAAGAGCAUUUUCUUCUCGAGAGCUCACCAUCAACCGUUGGUGAGAGGGGGAUAGAACUAUCUAGGGGACAGAAAUAAAGGAUUGCAAUACCUCAUGCCAUAGUGUUUAUGAAUUUGCAAAAUUGUAGAAGACCUAAAUCUGUUUAGUAGAAGUCUUGGGAGACCCUGAUGCUGAAGUUAUGGCCUUGUCCCCCAAGAGUCUUCUGGCCAUAAAUAAAUUCAUUUGUGAGAUCUGCAACAAAGGAUUUCAAAGAGAGCAGAACCUGCAACAUCACAGAAGAGGGCACAAUUUUCUGUGGAAGCUGAAGCAGAGAACAAGCAAAGAGUUUAUUAUCAUUAAGACGUGAUCUUAGAAGAGGGAUAUGUUUGAAAGCUUCUUCGAGGAACUUGUAAUCAAGAGUCCAAAUGGUGUUUGGAACAUUUUUGGUGGCAAGCUUUCAUAGGACUUGAAGUAAUUGUAUGUGAUGAUCCAAAUUUUGAGGGGCGUAGAAAGCCUUCCAAUGGCACUGCUUAAGGCUAUAGGAGCUAGUGUUUACUUGGUCAGGAAACCGAAUAAUUCUUGUAAUUGUCUUUAUGAAUAAGAGUUGUAUUUUUUUAGUUUUAUUUAUAGAAUUAUCUAAUAAAGUUUUCAUAUUUUAAUUAUUUGGUUCAAGCACAAUCAUAUGUAAAUUUGUUACAUUUGUAAUCUUGUAAUUAUAUAUUAUACAUUAUAUAUUAUGAAUAUAUUUGGCAA